UUCGAAUCCCUCUCUUUCCG
rnacentral:tRNA from 2 species